UACGUAGGGAGCAAGCGUUGUCCGGAAUCAUUGGGCGUAAAGCGCGCGUAGGUGGCCUCAUAAGUCCGCUGUGAAAGUCAAAGGCUCAACCUUUGAAAGCCGGUGGAUACUGUGAGGCUAGAGUACGGAAGAGGCGAGUGGAAUUCCUGGUGUAGCGGUGGAAUGCGCAGAUAUCAGGAGGAACACCGGUGGUGUAGACGGCUUUCUGGACCGUAACUGACGCUGAGACACGAAAGCGUGGGUAGCAAACAGG
rnacentral:rRNA from 1 species